rnacentral:rRNA from 1 species
UACAGAGGGUGCGAGCGUUGUUCGGAAUUAUUGGGCGUAAAGCGCAUGUAGGCGGCUUUGCAAGUCGCGUGUGAAAGCUCCAGGCUCAACCUGGAAAGUGCGCGCGAAAACUGUGAGGCUUGAGUGCCGGAGAGGGUGGCGGAAUUCCCGGUGUAGAGGUGAAAUUCGUAGAUAUCGGGAGGAACACCAGAGGCGAAGGCGGCCACCUGGACGAACACUGACGCUGAGACGGCGAAAGCGUGGGGAGCAAAC